rnacentral:rRNA from 1 species
UACGGGGGGAGCAAGCGUUGUUCGGAUUUACUGGGCGUAAAGGGCGCGUAGGCGGCCAAUUAAGUCAGCUGUGAAAUCUCAGAGCUUAACUGUGAACGGUCAUUUGAUACUGCUUAGCUAGAGUGCAGAAAGGGCAAUCGGAAUUCUUGGUGUAGCGGUGAAAUGCGUAGAUAUCAAGAGGAACACCUGAGGCGAAGGCGGCUUGCUAGACUGACACUGACGCUGAGGCGCGAAAGCGAGGGGAGCAAACGGG